rnacentral:lncRNA from 1 species
GGAGAAAAAUGAAGAUUCAUUUACCCCAGGACUCUUGCUUGAUUUGUUGCUGAGCUUUUGCCUGAUUUUCAGUCAUCAGCCCCCAAUUUUAUUCCCAGAGCCAGCUAGGGCCAAGCCUCAUUUUCCUGGGAGCCCAAUUCCUCCCCCAUUUUCCUUCCAUCCAGGCAUCAAGCCAUAGGCCAAACGGGGGUCAAGGAUGAUGGCUCAUUGGCAGGGCCAAGCAGGUGCCCCUGGCCUACAUUCAGCCCUGGGGAGCUUUUUGUUUUCGCCUGAACUUCCAAGAAUCUCAAUUCCCAGAUGAGGCAUGCUGUCAGAUCUUGGCAUAUGACACGAAACAUGACCCCUUUUCCCUCUUCUGCCUAAGUCUGAAUGUCCCUUUUCCUCUGACCUACAAUGUAGAAGAUUCUUGCUAAGAGCUGGAUGAGGAAGGCUUUGUGGGGCCAGGCGGGGCCAGGGGGUGGUGGGUCACAUCAACUAGAGCGCAGUUCUAUGUGCGAAGAGGGAAAAGUCCAGCUUCUGAACCUCCAAGAUAGCUUGUUUAAAAUUUCUAUUGAAAGAAUCUAGGGGUAUUUACCUCUCAGCUCUGGACGCUGAGUUUUCAGACCUGCAUAUUUUGGGUAGAAGGGCCCGUGUCAGGCUGUGAAGCCAGUUCCUGGCAGGCCAAAUGUGGCAAAGAACCAUUCAGUAAAGCAGCCAGCCCAGCAACACAGGCCCAGAAGGCAGCCUUCAGAGCUGGUUCAGUUACAGAAGGUCUGAGACCCCUCUUCCAAGCCCCUUUAGGAAGCCUGACUCUGGCUUCCAAGCUGCCUGCUAUCCCCAGUACCUCUCUUUCUGGUGAAGACACUGAAGAACACGGUUGUGUCUUGUUUUCUGCCUGCAGCAGCUGGGGCUAUUUGAAUAUUCUGUGGGAUAUUCCUGGAAGGUGACCUCCCUGGAUCCUCCUCUUUCAGAGUCAAAGGCAAAGCAGGAUGUGGCUGGGAAUUACACUUUUAAGGAACAGCACCAUUAGGUGACGCUAAGCCUCUUAGCCACUAUGUGGCGCCAUUUACCCAUUUUUCUGUGCAAGGUUCGUGGGUGGUGGCUACAUGCAAAGCAAACCAAAUUUCAAAACUUGAAAAUUUUUCAGGGAUCUGGUUCUGACUAGGAUCCUAACAUGUUGAGGGUACUUAGGCAAAUCUCUUGACCUCUAGGAGCCUCAGUUCCUCAUUUUGUGAAAUGAGAGACAGAUAGGGAGUCCCUGAAGUCCCUUCCAGCUUCAUCAUUUUGCAACUAUGUAAGUGAAUUCCCAAUGAUCAUCCAAGUGAUGCAAUUUUGGGCCUUUGGGUCACACAGAGGGUGGGUAAAAAAAAAAAAAAAAAAAAAAAAA